rnacentral:rRNA from 1 species
CAAUAGCGUAUAUUAAAGUUGUUGCGGUUAAAAAGCUCGUAGUUGGAUCUCGGCAGGCAGGGGGUGGUUCGCUCUUAGCGCUACUGCCCCAUUUGCCUGUGUGAUUGGCGGAGGUUUCGGGGUGCUCUUCGUUGAGUGACCCGGGGCGCCGUCAGGUUUACUUUGAAAAAAUUAGAGUGCUCAAAGCAGGCUUUUCACGCUUGAAUAUUCGUGCAUGGAAUAAUGGAAUAGGACGUCGUUUCUAUUUUGUUGGUUUUCGGAAAUCGACGUAAUGAUUAACAGGGACAGUCGGGGGCAUUAGUAUUCAGACGACAGAGGUGAAAUUCUUGGACCGUCUGAAGACUAACUACUGCGAAAGCAUUUGCCAAGAAUGUUUUCAUUAA